rnacentral:rRNA from 1 species
GACGAACGCUGGCGGCGUGGAUUAGGCAUGCAAGUCGAACGGUAUCAUCCUUUCGGGGGUGAGAGAGUGGCGAACUGGUGAGUAACACGUAGGUUAUCUACCCUCAAGACGGGGACAACCCAGGGAAACUUGGGCUAAUACCGGAUGUGAGCAACUUUUAGUUGUUUGAAAGGUGGCGUAAGCUGUCGCUUGGGGAUGAGCCUGCGUCCUAUUAGUUAGUUGGUGAGGUAACGGCUCACCUAGGCAAUGAUAGGUAGGCGGCCUUAACGGGUGGUCGCCCACACUGGGAUUGAGAUACGGCCCAGACUCCUACGGGAGGCAGCAGUCGAGAAUAGUCUACAAUGGUCGGAAGACUGAUAGUGCGACGCCGCGUGAACGAUGAAUCCCUUCGGGGUUAAAGUUCUUUAUAUGUGAGCAGUGCUUCUUAUAUUAACAGUAUGGGGGAAGAAGUAUAUAGACUAUAUAGUAAAUAACGACGAACGUACUAACCGUUCGUCGACCACGACGACGGCCGGUAAACGUAAACUCCG